CGCAGGACCUGGGCGUGGGGACACCACCAGGCAGGAGCAGAGGCAGGACUGGGACGCCAAAAGCUGAGAAUCCUCGAUGCCCGCGCGAGAGCCCCGUGUUAUGGCGAGUUCUGGAGGCUGGGAAGUUCAAGACCAAUGCACGAGAAUUUGGUCUAAAGAGAAUCUUCUUGCUCUGAACACACAUAGUAGAAGGCAGAAGGGCAAGAGAGAGAACAAAGUCUGUGUCUCCACAUGGCAGAAGAGCAGAGGAGACAGAACCUACUCCUCUAUGGCAACCACCCCAUCAAUGACAAAAAUCCUAGAAGGAUGUAUGUAUAGGAAGUUGAAGUGUUGAGAAGAGAAUGGCUCAGAGUCAAGCGGGAACAAGAUUCAAACUUCAGAGAGAGAGGGAAGAAAAACAUUUAAAUAUAUCUGGCAUAAUCCAAGACUAUUUACGACAAGUGUUCUGUGUUUCUAAUAAUAAAACAGACUUCACCUCGGAGUACCUGCAGAACUGGGACCCCAAUGACCAGGGAGAAUGAAGAACAACUUGUUGAAGGUAUAGAGAAGGCAGCAAAUCAUACAAGAAGGUCCAUCCCAAACCAGAGAUAGUAUAGAUAAAUCUCUCAUGUUAACUAUGGAAAAAAUAAAGGAAGAUGACGUAUUUUAAUAGAAGGGAAAUUGCGCUUAUUGGGAGUAAGAACACUGAAUUGACUGAAUAUCUUAAAGAGAGUUAGGAAGUGAAAUUCUCAACAGGUGAUUAUUCUUUGACCAAUUUUGUCUUAUCUCUUAUCCACAUUCUUCCCUGCUCUUCCCAAUACAUGUGUAAGAAUAUCCAAGGGCACACACAUACCAUAAGCAGGAAUGGUGUCCUAAGGAAAGUCAAUAUAGAGAGUAAGAAGUAUAUCUGUCACAAUGUGUACAUGUAUACAUCCUAAAUAUUUGUACAAUUAAUUUACUUCUCUUCAUUUCCAACACUCCUAGUCUAUGCUAUGAACAUCUCUUACCUAAAAUGCUACAGAUGUCCCCUAAAUUUUUCCAUAAAUCAGUUUUUUCCUCUCCAAGCUGUAAGCAGAAAUGCAUUUUUAAAUUGCAUAUAUGACCGUGACACGUAUCUGUCUCAGUUUAUAGAACAGGUCUCUAACAGGGCCAGCAGCUUCCAGUCACUUCUGUCCCUUACCUUUUCUCCAGUCUCAUUUUACAUAUUUUUUUACAUGCUCUCUAUAUUCCUGUAAUUAAAUAUUACUUUCCCCUCAA
rnacentral:lncRNA from 1 species